AGAGUUUGAUCAUGGCUCAGAAUGAACGCUGGCGGCGUGCCUAACACAUGCAAGUCGAGCGAGAAAUCACACUUCGGUGUGAGAGUAGAACGGCGCACGGGUGAGUAACGCGUGGAUAAUCUACCCAUGGAUUGGGGAUAACCCUGCGAAAGCGGGGCUAAUACCUGAUAGUCUGGUCAUUAUAUAGAUGAUCGGUAAAGGUGGCCUCUGAUACAAGCUACUGUCCGUGGAUGAGUCCGCGUCUCAUUAGCUGGUUGGUGGGGUAAUGGCCUACCAAGGCGACGAUGAGUAGCUGGUCUGAGAGGAUGAUCAGCCACACUGGGACUGGAACACGGCCCAGACUCCUACGGGAGGCAGCAGUGGGGAAUAUUGGGCAAUGGGCGCAAGCCUGACCCAGCAACGCCGUGUGAGGGAAGAAGGUUUUCGGAUCGUAAACCUCUGUCA
rnacentral:rRNA from 1 species